AACAACUCUGUCGGUUGGUGUUCAUGAGUGUGAGCUUAAUACAGCAAUGUUUGAGUAGUACAAAAAUGUUUUCGCUUUUGUGGUCGCCAGCUGUCCGUGAUCUGUAAAGUGAAAAUACACAGAGCUAUGAAGCAUACAAAUGUUUCGAAAUUUUAUCAAUGAUUGUAUACUAUGCAUGUUUUGAUUUAGUUCGUUUCAGAUUUGACAUGAGAUGAAAACCUGACAUGAUUUGAACAGAGCUGGGAAACGAAAAGGUAAGUCUGUUUCAUUCCACUAUGAACACUUGUAUUUUGACAAAAGAAGAGAUAAAGUGAGUUACUUUAUCAUCAUGGUUUCAUUUGGUGUAUUACACAUGAACAGAGGUAAACCUAGCUAGCUUUUCGUGUACUCUAUUUUGGAUGAUGAGUAUGUCAGUAACUUUAAUUGUACGGCUAGUAAAGUAUGAACAUGAAUGCUUUGUUCAGAUUUUCAGAUGUGUGCUGGCAGUUCAAGUCUGGCAGCUGGAGUGAACAGUCGUGUUUUCUGGAGCUCCAACAAUAUGCUAGAAGGUAAGUAACUAUGUUUGUUUUGCAUUGCAUGUUUUUAUAUGUUUCAGACUUUCAAGCAGAGAUGUCAUGCUGACUGGAGUUGAGCACAGGGCAGUGACAAAGUGAAAGGUAAGUACUUUUGACUGAAUGUUUGUUCUAUGCAUGUUUUGUUUUAAUACAUUUCAGGAGUGCUUAUCCAGUGAUGAUAUGACAGUUGGAGUGAACAGUGGAGCCAAGCAGUCUUGUUUUUGGAGCUACUCAACAAGCCUUGAAGGUAAGUUUAGAAUUUCUCAAUGUUAGUGAAUUGAAGUACUGUCACUUGCUUUUGGACAGUCGAACAGAACAGACGUGGUUGCGAGAGCUCUCAUAUCUGUUGUGUUAAACUGUUUUUAUGAUAUGUUAUGUUUGUUUGUUUGUUUGUGAUGUACUAUUUUUCAGAUGCUGAUGGCAGUGAUGGGUUUUCAAGCUGACCUGAACAGAAAAGCACUCAUAUUGUAAGUACAAAAUAGUUGUUAUAUGGGAUGUUUUGUGCAUGCUUUUAUGUUUCAGGUGUACUUGCUGACAGCGACGAAGACGAAUCAAGAAGAGGAACAUUGUUGAGAAAGUGAUUGGGACUUGCAAACAGGGUAAGUGUAACACUUGUGUUUGUUUAAUUUGUAACAUGCGUGCUUUGCUCUGUUUCAGAUUUCACAUGCAGAAAUUAAACAGGAUUUCAACUGCUGAGACACAAUUCAUCAAAAGUAAGGUAAGUUUUAAUUCAUUGAUUUGAGUUGUACAAUGUGUUCUUUACUUUAUUUCAGAUUCGAGUCACUGGUUUACACAUGGAAGAAGAUUUCCACGUCUGUUACUCAACUCUACAGAAGCAAGAUGUUUUGUUUCAGUUGAUGUCCAGAUGGCAAGCAGUACAGACGUGUUUCUUGGAGCUGCCAAACAGUGUACUUGUAGUCAGCGACGAAGACGAUUCAAGAAGAGGAACAUUGCUGAGAAAGUGAAUGGGACUUGCAAACAGGAUUCAAGUUCCUGGUGUAGACAGAGAAAUGUGUUUGAAGAAGGAAUUCUACUACUGUGAUUCAACUCUACAGAAGCAAGACUUACAUUGCUGUGACUGUUCCACAGUGGGUCAAAAAAGAGACGAAUACAGGUUUCAAGAAGAAAAUUGGCUGUUGAAAACCUGCACAAAAUAUGAGGUAAGUAAACUAUUCUUUUGGUUUGUUUUGUGCUUUGUUAUGCUUAACUAUUUUUCAGAUUGGAAUGGUGGGUCGUUACAGAGCAGACUUUUGGACAACUGAGAAGUUGAGAAACAGAGAAUGAUUCAAGAUCAGCUAGGUAAGUCUUGAUUAUUGUGCAUUGCUAAAUGUUUUUUUUCAUUCCAGUAUGGCUGUGGUAAGUACACAAACUUUCUAUAAUUUAAUAUUGAACUGUUUUUAUGACCUGUAUUCUGCAUUGUAAAAUGUCUGUUUUUCAUUUCAGUAUCCUGUGGUAAGUACACUAACUUUCUUUAAUUUUCAUAUUGAACUGUUUUGAUGACUUGUAUACUACUAUGCAAUGCCUAAUGUUUUUUUCAUUUCAGUAGCCUGUUGGUAAGUACACUAACUUUCUAUAAUUUCAUAGUGAAUUGUUUUGAUGACCUGUAUUCUGCAUUGUAAAAUGUGUUUCUUUUUUAUUUCAGUAUGGCUGUGGUAAGUACAAUUGCCUUUCAUAUUGAACUGUUUUGAUGACCUGUAUUUUGCAUUGUAAAAUGUGUUUCUUUUUCAUUUCAGUAUGGCUGUGGUAAGUACACAAACUUUCUUUAAUUUUCAUAUUGAACUGUUUUGAUGACUUGUAUUCUACUAUGCAAUGCUUAAUGUAUUUUUUUCAGUAGCCUGUUGGUAAGUACAAUUGCCUUCUUUAAUUUUCAUAUUGAACUGUUUUGAUGAUGUGUAUACUGCUAUGCAAUGCUUAAUGUUUUUUUCAUUUCAGUAUGGCUGUGGUAAGUACACAUACUUUCUAUAAUUUCAUAUUGAACUGUUUUGAUGACUUGUAUUCUGCUAUACAAAAUGUGCUUUUUUCAAUUUCAGGUCAGCAAUGGUAAGUAUAGUGUGUUUUUUUAUGUAUAAUUUUGUAUACAUAUUGUUUUUUUCAUCAUAGCAUGUCUUUUAUAUUUAUGCUUUGUGUAAGUAAAAUGUUCAUAAAUCAUUCUUAUCUUCAAACUAAAAAUGUAUUGUGCUAUGCAAAAUGUCUGUAUGAUUUCAGUUGCCAGAGGUGAGUACCAUUACAGUUGAAAAGUUAGUUUUGUUUAGUUAAAGUUUUGGUUCACAGUUCUGUUUGUUAUUUGGCAAAAUUUACAUGUAUGCAUUGAGUCUUGAUUUCAGCUCGAUUGUGGACUGAAGAAGAUUGCCCGCAGAGGGAUUGGAUACAAAAUACAAACUUUACUGCUAGACGAGUGUUCUCUACUACUUGACGAGUCAGCUUUACUACCAGGCGAGCAGUGACAACAAGGCGCCUUUGUGGAAACAACACAACAAAAAACUGUACUGCUAGACGAGCAGUGACAGAAAGGCGCCUGAACAUGCAACACAAAACAAAAAAUGCCAAUAUCCAAACCUUGAUGUGGACACCGAGUAGUCAAUACAUACGUGUGGCGUAUAGCUGCGACAAAACCGUGGGUCCAUCGCACCGAUAACUUGAACAUUGGCCCGUGUAUGGACAUCAGUGCAACUUUGUGAAUCCAUGUUACUUUGUGAAUCCAUGUAACAUUGCGAAUGUGUGUCGAUCGAAAAAUGUGUACGUUCUGCACUGAAACGAACUCGGUGUUGCAAGUGGCAAGUGUUGACAGUGUGUAUGUUUAUGUUUAUGUUUUUACAUGAAAACUAAAGGAGAUUGUUCUCCUACCUUUUUUUUCCUUGUUUUAUUGCGCUGGCCAGCAAUAUUGAUGUAUUGAUGUAUGUGUUUGUGUUUAAACUAUGCAAUACCAAAAUCAAACAAAAAAUAAACAUUAACAGUCAUUAACUGUG